UUCCUACGGGAGGCAGCAGUGGGGAAUAUUGCACAAUGGGGGAAACCCUGAUGCAGCGACGCCGCGUGAGCGAAGAAGUAUUUCGGUAUGUAAAGCUCUAUCAGCAGGGAAGAAAAUGACGGUACCUGACUAAGAAGCUCCGGCUAAAUACGUGCCAGCAGCCGCGGUAAUACGUAGGGGGCAAGCGUUAUCCGGAUUUACUGGGUGUAAAGGGAGCGUAGACGGUUGUGCAAGUCUGAAGUGAAAUGCCCGGGCC
rnacentral:rRNA from 1 species